rnacentral:rRNA from 1 species
GGAGGAAAAGAAACUAACAAGGAUUCCCCUAGUAACUGCUAGUGAAGCGGGAAGAGCUCAAAUUUUGAAUCUGGCGGUCUUCGGCCGUCCGAGUUGUAAUCUAGAGAAGCGUUUUCCGCGCUGGACCGUGUAUAAGUCUCCUGGAAGGGAGCGUCGUAGAGGGUGAGAAUCCCGUCUUUGACACGGACUGCCAGUGCUAUGUGAUGCGCUCUCGACGAGUCGAGUUGUUUGGGAAUGCAGCUCAAAUUGGGUGGUAAAUUCCAUCUAAAGCUAAAUAUAGGCGAGAGACCGAUAGCGAACAAGUACCGUGAGGGAAAGAUGAAAAGAACUUUGGAAAGAGAGUUAAACCGUACGUGAAAUUGCUGAAAGGGAAACGCUUGAUGUCAGUCGCGUCGGCCGGGGAUCAACCUUGCUUCAUCGCUCGGUGUAUUUCCUGGUCGACGGGUCAGCAUCAGUUUCGAUCGCCGUACAAGGGCGGAGGGAAUGUGGCACUCUUCGGAGUGUGUUAUAGCCUUUCGUCGUAUGCGGUGACUGGGACUGAGGAACUCAGCACGACCCCUCGAGGGUUCGGGGCUUCGGCCUACGUAUCGUGCUUAGGAUGCUGGGCAUAAUGGCCUUAAGCGGAC